rnacentral:lncRNA from 1 species
CAUCGGGGUUAUGGGCACUAAGGAACAUCUCUGAAUAUCUCGAACCACUUGGCUGUUAGCUGUUCCUCUUUUGAAUAAAAUCUGUGAGAGCUGGUGCAUGACACUUCAGUUCUAUUUUCUGUUCUCUUCAUGACCUGGAAGCUAUGCAGAUUCAGCUCGUAAAGCUGUACUCACUGGUACUCUCGUUCCCCAGCUGAAAAGUUCUGAAUUCAUACAGUUGAAUCCUUCUUAACAGUCUGCUUUACGGGAACCUUUAUUACCGCGACCCGCAGUUCUGGUUCUGGAAUGAGGGAUCUUCCUUGCGCCAGUCCCGAGUUUUUUCUCGUAUUUUUUCGUCCCGGAUUUUUUCUCGUCCCGUCCCGGGUUUCGGCACCAAUUGUUAUU